rnacentral:rRNA from 1 species
UACGAAGGGGGCUAGCGUUGUUCGGAAUUACUGGGCGUAAAGCGCGCGCAGGCGGCUUGGUAAGUUGGGGGUGAAAUCCCUGGGCUCAACCCAGGAAUGGCCUUCAAGACUGCUUGGCUGGAGGACGAGAGAGGUGAGUGGAAUUCCCAGUGUAGAGGUGAAAUUCGUGGAUAUUAGGAAGAACACCGGUGGCGAAGGCGGCCCACUGGAUCGGUACUGACGCUGAGGUGCGAAAGCGUGGGGAGCGAACCGG